AUGCAAGAUAAUCUUGUGUUUGCACUAGAGGGGCGUCGCAGCCAUAACUGGCAGCGUGCUGGAACUGGACAACACCUGGCCAUAAGUAGCAGCUGGGAUGGAGACAAGAUUGUAUUUGAGAGAAUGGAAUUGUCACGGCUCCGGUCAUUGACGGUGUUCGGCAAGUGGAGGCCAUUCUUCAUCUCUGCCUAUGUCAAUAUGGAAUUGCUCCGGGUGCUGGAUCUAGAGAAUUCAACAGGUGUCAGAGAUGCUGAUAUUGAGCAAAUUGGGAAGCUACUUCUUCGCCUCAAAUUCCUCUCCCUACGAGGUUGCAAAUAUAUUACCUGUUUGCCGAGAUCAUUGGCUGGCCUGAAGCAGUUGCAAACUCUAGAUGUAAAAGGCACCUCCAUGGUCAUUUUGCCAUCUUAUGUUAUGAAGCUACAUAAGCUACAAUACAUUCGUGCUGGUGCCAUACUACCACCAUCAGUUACGGAAGACCUACCAGCAGAAGAAGCAGGAGCAGCUGAUGAGGACCACAUGACAUCAGCAACCGCUGGAGAUGACCAUAGUGAUGCCAUGGUUACAAGCCAAUUAGCAGGAGAAGCAAGAACACCAGCAGAAGAAGAGCCAGUCCAGACCACAACGCCAUGGAGCAGUCGGGGACGAGAUAUGCUGGUAUCUUGCAGCUGGUUGUCCAACAAGUUUAGAUGCAAACGUCGACGAUGUAGUGGUGUUAAGGUUCCUGUUGCGGCUGGGAUUGGUAAGCUGAUCGCUUUACAUACACUUGGUGUUGUCAAUAUCACUAUUAGUGGCAAGGCCAUCCUCAUGGAGCUCAAGAAGCUUACCCAAUUGCACAAGCUCGCUGUGUCCGGCAUCAACUGGAAAAAUUGGAGCGAAUUUUGUUCUGUCAUCUCAGGCUAUGUUCAUCUUGAGACCUUGUCAGUGAGACUCGGUGAUAAUGAUGAGAAGCAGAAGGAGCGGGAGGAUUUGUGUUGUUUGGAUGACAUCUCCAAGCCGCCAAAAACACUAAAGAGCCUCAAGCUGUACGGGGGAAAUGUACACGUAUCGGUAGUCUGGAUGAAGCAACUUGGCAAGAAUCUCAAAAAGGCUCGCGUUCAAGAUCUUGAGUUGGCAAUAUCAACGCAGGAGAACAUAGACAGCCUUGUACAAUUGCCUUGCAAGGAUAUGUUCGGUCAUCUUUGUCUCAAGCCGAUUGAAGAUGGCAAGCUCUAUUAUGAUAGUCUGGUGGCCCCGUGGACUAGGGAUUUCUUCCAAGCCCCAGACCUUAAGAUUGACUGUGGCAGCUAUAAGCUGGUGAUAGUUUUUGGAGGUAGGAUGCCUGCAAAUGUGGAGGUGCUGGUUGUUCACUGCUCUUCUACCGAGUCGUCUUUGGAGCUUUCUGGGUUAGAGAAGCUAGAGAAUCUCAAGAAAGUGUGGCUUAAGGGUUCAUACAGCGACCAAGUCAAGGAACACUUGCAGCAGAAGGUUGGCGAGCUUGUGAAGAAACCUGUGUUGAAGCUGGAGGACCAACACACCCAACAGUCAGCUCCACCUACCCCUUGGUCGCUCAAGAAUGCAGAACGGAUGGUCAAGCAAGGAAGCAAGGGGAAAGGGAGGGGAACGGGGGACCUGGGUGGGGAUGAAUUUGGCCUGGUUCGUUCCUCGCCGACCACGCGCGCCAGAGCGUCACCGUGCGAUCCCCCUCUACGGCCGCAGCAUCUCCGCCUGGUUCUGCAGCAGCAGCAGCAGCUCCCGUCUUGGCCACCACCGCCGCGGACCUGUACGGCGAUCUAUUCCACAGACCGUACUUCUGCUGCGGGUGAUGGUGGUCAUCUCCGGCGGCCGCCGCCGCAACGGCCAUUGGUGCUGCCGCGAGCGAGAGAGAGGAAGGGAGACGAUGAUGGAUUGGGCCUGUUGAUUGUUGUUGCU
rnacentral:rRNA from 1 species